GAUGAACGCUGGCGGCGUGCUUAACACAUGCAAGUCGAACGGGAAAUAUUUCAUUGAGACUUCGGUGGAUUUGAUUUAUUUCUAGUGGCGGACGGGUGAGUAACGCGUGGGUAACCUGCCUUAUACAGGGGGAUAACAGUCAGAAAUGGCUGCUAAUACCGCAUAAGCGCACAGAGCUGCAUGGCUCAGUGUGAAAAACUCCGGUGGUAUAAGAUGGACCCGCGUUGGAUUAGCUAGUUGGUGGGGUAACGGCCCACCAAGGCGACGAUCCAUAGCCGGCCUGAGAGGGUGAACGGCCACAUUGGGACUGAGCCACGGCCCAGACUCCUACGGGAGGCAGCAGUGGGGAAUAUUGCACAAUGGGGGAAACCCUGAUGCAGCGACGCCGCGUGAAGGAAGAAGUAUCUCGGUAUGUAAACUUCUAUCAGCAGGGAAGAUAGUGACGGUACCUGACGAAGAAGCCCCGGCUAACUACGUG
rnacentral:rRNA from 1 species